UUAGGCAAUAAAAGGUUACUGUUAUCUGAAUACACGGCAUCGUGAGGUGACGGUUCUUGCAGGGGCCGUUGCAGUUGAGUUUAGCUGACAAAAGGUGACUAUCCUGCGGUGACAACAGUUAAGUUUAUUUAGACACCAAAACGACUAGUUUAGAUUAGA